UACGUAGGGUGCGAGCGUUAAUCGGAAUACUGGGCGUAAAGCGUGCGCAGGCGGUGAUGUAAGACCGAUGUGAAAUCCCCGGGCUUAACCUGGGAACUGCAUUGGUGACUGCAUUGCUGGAGUAUGGCAGAGGGGGGGUGGAAUUCCACGUGUAGCAGUGAAAUGCGUAGAGAUGUGGAGGAACACCGAUGGCGAAGGCAGCCCCCUGGGCCAAUACUGACGCCUCAUGCACGAAAGCGUGGGGAGCAAACAGG
rnacentral:rRNA from 1 species